GGACUACCGGGGUUUCUAAUCCUGUUUGCUCCCCACGCUUUCGCGCCUCAGCGUCAGUAUCGGUCCAGAGAGCCGCCUUCGCCACCGGUGUUCUUCCCAAUAUCUACGAAUUUCACCUCUACACUGGGAAUUCCACUCUCCUCUCCCGAACUCAAGCAACACAGUCCCAAGCGCAAUUCCCAGGUUGAGCCCGGGGCUUUCACGCCUGACUUAUGCCGCCGCCUACGCGCCCUUUACGCCCAGUAAAUCCGAACAACGCUCGCCCCCUUCGUAUUACCGCGGCGGCUGGCAC
rnacentral:rRNA from 1 species